CCUUUAGACCAGGAAGUGUGGAGCUGUCAGACAAUCUCUCUCAGACAACCGUUGGUACAUCUGAAGUGUCUACUCUAACGAAAACUCAAAUCGAAGAAAAGCAGAGACUCACCGAAGUGGGAUUUUUUCCUUUUUGAGAAAGUGGUUCAACAGAGAGACGACGAUCAAGGACAGCUACGCGGAUUCCUAUAGGGGUGCACCGGGAUUCCCAGCUCACUCAUUGCAAGUGACUUGAAGCCGAAGCUACAUCUCUGUGUGAUUUAUUUCCCCCUUUCAGGUGUAUAACAUUUUGGAGGCUCUGUUAAGAUGAAUGCACCUAAGAUCGACUCCAUGAGAUAGGAAGACCCUCAACCGACAUUAAUCUUCAAAAUCAACUCAGGCAGACGACAGUGUGACAGACAGCUACGGUGGAGGUUCGACAGAAACUGGAAAAGGAGUGCGUGCAAACUGAGGUCAGAGUGAACAACAGGGAGCAGCAAGGUCCAUUCAGUAAAAGAGAACCUUCAUUAAAAUUGUUGUCAACUUUUUUGCUAGUAAAAUGGAAUCAGCAUUAGAGGAUAUGCAAAUAGAAGGGUCCCCUGUAACUCAGUUGAUAGAGCAUGGCGCUUGCAACGCCAGGGUUGUGGGUUCGUUUCCCACGGGGGGCCAGUAUGAAAAAUG